rnacentral:rRNA from 1 species
UACAGAGGUCUCAAGCGUUGUUCGGAUUCAUUGGGCGUAAAGGGUGCGUAGGCGGUCGGGUAAGUCGGAUGUGAAAUCCCAGGCUCAACCCUGGAACUGCAUUCGAUACUGCCUGGCUAGGGUACUGGAGAGGAGACUGGAAUUUUACGGUGUAGCAGUGAAAAUGCGUAGAUAUCGAUAGGAAAAGACCAGUGGCGAAAAGGCGAGUCUCUGGACAGUUUACCCGACGCUGAGGGCACGAAAGGGGUCAGGGAGCAAAACGGGGAAU